UGGUAGAUGCACCCUGAUAACUAACUCCCCUGGUAGGCUCAUACAUACUAGGGGUUUUUUGA
rfam:Tolypothrix sp. PCC 7601 strain TTEX B 481 genomic scaffold FDTTEX481_Contig1, whole genome shotgun sequence.